rnacentral:rRNA from 1 species
GUGAGGAAUAUUGGUCAAUGGGCGCAAGCCUGAACCAGCCAUGCCGCGUGCAGGAAGACGGUCCUAUGGAUUGUAAACUGCUUUUAUUUGGGAAUAAACCUCCUUACGUGUAGGGAGCUGAAGGUACCAAAUGAAUAAGCACCGGCUAACUCCGUGCCAGCAGCCGCGGUAAUACGGAGGGUGCAAGCGUUAUCCGGAAUCAUUGGGUUUAAAGGGUCCGCAGGCGGUCAUAUAAGUCAGUGGUGAAAGCCUACAGCUCAACUGUAGAACUGACAUUGAUACUGUAUGACUUGAAUUCGAUCGAAGUGGGCGGAAUGUGACAUGUAGCGGUGAAAUGCUUAGAUAUGUCACAGAACACCGAUAGCGAAGGCAGCUCACUAGGUCUGGAUUGACGCACAGGGACGAAAGCGUGGGGAGCAAACAGGAUUAGAAACCCGUGUAGUCC